UAGGGAAUCUUCGGCAAUGGACGAAAGUAUGACCGAGCAACGCCGCGUGAGUGAAGAAGGUUUUCGGAUCGUAAAACUCUGUUGUUAGAGAAGAACAAGGACGUUAGUAACUGAACGUCCCCUGACGGUAUCUAACCAGAAAGCCACGGCUAACUACGUGCCAGCAGCCGCGGUAAUACGUAGGUGGCAAGCGUUGUCCGGAUUUAUUGGGCGUAAAGCGAGCGCAGGCGGUUUCUUAAGUCUGAUGUGAAAGCCCCCGGCUCAACCGGGGAGGGUCAUUGGAAACGGGGAGACUUGAGUGCAGAAGAUGAGAGUGGAAUUCCAUGUGUAGCGGUGAAAUGCGUAGAUAUAUGGAGGAACACCAGUGGCGAAGGCGGCUCUCUUGUCUGUAACUGACGCUGAGGCUCGAAAGCGUGGGGAGCAAACAGG
rnacentral:rRNA from 1 species